AGGACGAACGCUGGCGGCGCGCCUAACACAUGCAAGUCGAGCGAUAACCAGUCCUUCGGGACUGGGGACAGCGGCGAACGGAUGAGUAACACGUGGGUAAUCUACCCUCGGUUUCGGGAUAGCCCGGGGAAACCCGGAUUAAUACCGAAUGGCCUCUCAGGCUCUCGGGCUUGAGAGAAAAGGUAGCUUCGGCCUCUGACCGAGGAUGAGCCCGCGGCCGAUUAGCUAGUUGGUGGGGUAAUGGCCCACAAGGCGACGAUCGGUAGCUGGUCUGAGAGGACGAUCAGCCACACUGGGACUGAGACACGGCCCAGACUCCUACGGGAGGCAGCAGUGGGAAUCUGCGCAAGUGGGACGAAAGCCUGACGCAGCGACGCCGCGUGCGGGAAGAACGGCCGUUCGGGUGUAACCGUCUUUCGAGGAGGACGAGCCACGUCGGUUAAUACGCCGAGGAGGUCGACGGUACCUCCGAAGAACGAACGCCCCGGACUAACCGUACGUCGUACCGAGACCGA
rnacentral:rRNA from 1 species